UAUGUUUACAAUGUAUUGACAAACACUGGAGAGUAACUAGACUGGUUUUCCAAAUGCAUUAUCUUUGGAUCUGCAAAAAUAUACAGUUACAGCUGCAAGCGUUAUGGUGUUGCAUUGUAGAAUGAAUGCCUCUUGACACCAUAACUCAAUGCAACAGAGUCCUGGGUGCCUAUGUUUACAAUGUAUUGACAAACACUGGAGAGCAACUGGACUGGUUUUCCAAAUGCAUUGUCUUUGAAUCUGCAAAAAUAUACAGUUACAGCUGCAAGUGUUACGACGUUGCAUUGCAGAACGAAUGCAUCUUGACACCAUAACUCAAUGCAACAGAGUCCUGGGUUCCUAUGUUUACGAAGUAUUGGCAAACACUGGAGACUGGUUUUCCAAAUGCAUUGUCUUUCGAUCUGCAAAAAUAUACAGUUUCAGCUGCAAGUGUUACGACGUUGCAUUGCAGAACGGAUGCAUCUUGACACCAUAACUCAAUCCAACAGAGUCCUGGGUGCCUAUGUUUACGAUGUAUUGACAAACACUGGAGAGUAACUAGACUGGUUUUCCAAAUGCAUUGUCUUUGGAUCUGCAAAAAUAUUCAGUUACGGCUGCAAGCGUUACGGUGCUGCAUUGCAGAACGAAUGCAUCUUGACACCAUAACUCAAUCCAACAGAGUCCUGAGUGCUUAUGUUUACAAUCUAUUGACAAACACUGGACAUCUUGACACCAUGGCUCAAUGCAACAGAGUCCUGGGUUCCUAUGUUUACGUUAUAUUGACAAACACUGGAGAGCAACUGGACUGGUUUUCCAAAUGCAUUGUCUUUGGAUCUGCAAAAAUAUACAGUUACGGCUGCAAGUGUUACGGUGCUGCAUUGCAGAACGAAUGCAUCUUGACACCAUAACUCAAUGCAACAGAGUCCUGGGAGUUGCAAUUGUGCAUGAAUCCAAACAGCCACCGUAGCCAAGUUUCCACGGCAAUUAAAGCGGAACCAUUCUGCAGUCAGUGUAGAUGCAAAGAGAGGAACGGCACGAGAGAAGAGCCUAGCAACGGGGAGAGCAAAGGUCACAUUGCCGUGGCUGCCGGCUUUUGUGCCGGCCGAGCAGCGAAACUCUGCGAAUGGCAAACUGUGCACAAAGGCAAACUGUGCAAAGAGACACGGAAGGAGAAGGAGGAGCCCUCGGGGACGGACAGGCGCAACGAGGGGAACGGCAGCCGGAACAACACGGCGACACACGGCCGGACAGGUGUUUUCGGACAGGGUUUUUCCACUCCUAUCAUCUCAGUCCAGGAAGCAGAAAAUGAAAGCCCGGCACUUUCACCAAAGAAUGAAGAAGCAGCUGCAUUUUGAUGGGGAAAAACCAUUUCCAGACUAAGUCAGGAGACGGAAAGGGUAAGUCAUCCCAUCAAGUAGAAGUUGGGCUUGUUUGGGAUAGAAUUGCCACUGUUUUUAACACGUCGGAGAUGUUGUUAUUUCUGAAAGAAGUCUCAUUUAAUAUUUGAAGCCAGCUUUGGAAUAAUUAGUUCUUCUAAGCAGCUAUUCCUUCCAAAACAGCUUCUCCGAACCUCUUCUUUCAGGCUUAGCAUUGAGUUAAUGGGUUAAACUCUUGUGCCGGCUGGACUGCUGACCUGAAGGUUGGGUUCACUGACUUGAAGGUUGCCGGUUCAAAUCGGCAAAACAGGGCGAGCUCCCGCCUGUCAGCUCUAGCUUGCAGGGACUUGAGAGAAGCCACCCAGCAACACAUCUGGGCGUCCCCUGGGCAACGUCUCUGUAGACGGCCAAUUCUCUCACACCAGAAGCAACUUGCAUUAUGUUCUCAAGUCACUUCUGACGUGAUAAAAAUAAAGCAUUGAGCUGAGAAAACAUAGUAGAGAGGUUGUGUAUGUGUGUGUGUAUAUAUAGUACGUAUACAUGUACAUAUACAUAUACAGUAGAGUCUCACUUAUCCAACAUAAACGGGCCGGCAGAACAUUAGAUAAGCAGAAAUGUUGGAUAAUAAGGAAGAAUUAAGGAAAAGCCUAUUAAACAUCAAAUUAGAUUAUGAUUUUACAAAUUAAGCACCAAAACAUGUUUUACAACAAU
rnacentral:lncRNA from 11 species